rnacentral:rRNA from 1 species
UGAGGAAUCUUGCCCAAUGGGGGAAACCCUGAGGCAGCGACACCGCGUGCGGGAUGAAGGCCUUCGGGUCGUAAACCGCUUUUCUGGGGGACGAGUAAGGACGGUACUCCAGGAAUAAGUCCCGGCUAACUACGUGCCAGCAGCCGCGGUAAAACGUAGGGGGCGAGCGUUAUCCGGAAUCACUGGGCGUAAAGGGCGUCUAGGCGGCAGCCUAAGUCCCGUGUGAAAGCUCCCGGCUCAACUGGGAGAGGGCAUGGGAGACUGGGCAGCUAGAGACUCGGAGGGGGGUGUGGAAUUCCCGGUGGAGUGGUGGAAUGCGUUGAGAUCGGGAGGAACACCAGUAGCGAAGGCGGCACCCUGGCCGAGAUCUGACGCUGAAGCGCGAGAGCGUGGGGAGCGAACGG